GAGCAGGUACUGCAGUGAUUACUAUUCAGUGGAGAACUAUAAGGCCACAUAUGCACCAACUUUUGCACCACUAGAUGAUAAAAGUGAAUGGGUCCAGCAAUGAAGACUUCAUCUGAGACCCAUUUAAAACCGUCACAAUCUGUACAAGUGAGGUUUGAUUUUGCAGUGGGCAGUUUUUGAAGCAAUGACCAGAUUCUCCGCAAGCGUAACAACCAUUCUCUACUGGUAAUUUCACCAUCUUGCAUUUGACAGGAUCGAUGGCAUCG